rnacentral:rRNA from 1 species
AAUGUUUGACAAUGGGGGCAACGCUGAUCUAGCCAGUCCUCGUGUGUGAAGUAGGUCUNUGGUUUNUNAAGCACUUUAAGUUGGGNGAAUGGGCUUUAGGUUAAUACCCUGAAGUUUUGACGUUACCAACAGAAUAAGCACCGGCUAACUCUGUGCCAGCAGCCGCGGUAAUACAGAGGGUGCAAGCGUUAAUCGGAAUUACUGGGCGUAAAGCGCGCGUAGGUGGUUCAGUAAGAUGGGUGUGAAAUCCCCGGGCUUAACCUGGGAACUGCUUUCAUAACUGCUGAGCUAGAGUACGGUAGAGGGUAGUGGAAUUUCCUGUGUAGCGGUGAAAUGCAUAGAUAUAGGAAGGAACACCAGUGGCGAAGGCGACUACCUGGACUGAUACUGACACUGAGGUGCGAAAGCGUGGGGAGCAAAC